rnacentral:rRNA from 1 species
AUACGGAGGAUCCGAGCGUUAUCCGGAUUUAUUGGGUUUAAAGGGUGCGCAGGCGGCCAUUUAAGUCAGCGGUUAAAUCGUGGGGCUCAACCCCAUUCUGCCGUUGAUACUGGGUGGCUUGAUUGCGGUCGAGGUUGGCGGAAUUCGUUGUGUAGCGGUGAAAUGCAUAGAUAUGACGAAGAACACCGAUUGCGUAGGCAGCUGACCAGACCGCAAAUGACGCUCAUGCACGAAAGUGCGGGGAUCGAACAGGAUUAGAUACCCUGGUAGUCCGUACAGUAAACGAUGAAUACUUGUUUUCGGCGAUAUAAUGUCGGAGGCAAAGCGAAAGCGAUAAGUAUUCCACCUGGGGAGUACGCCGGCAACGGUGAAACUUAAAGGAAUGGACGGGG